AGACCAUAGACGUAUAGAAGACAGCGCGCUAGCGGAUCUAGUCUGCUAUAUAUGUCUAUGGUCGGAACGUGUGGUAGCAUCUCUGGCUGCUGUUGACCUUGUUUUUGGAGUAAAACACGGUGGAAGCUGAAUUAGUGAGGAUGACUCCUGCUCCUGUCAUCUCUAAGCUCCUCACACAUCUUUUACCUGCACAUGAGGAAAAUCACUCCUGUAGAAUGCAGGUAUGUUUGUCAUUAUUAUAAAAAGAUGUUGCCUGGUGACCUGUCAGAAACCCAUCAUACAGAGUCAGCCAAAAUAAUGUUUACACACAUCAGGAAAAGAAAAACUUGCAUAAAUAUUUCAAUACCAAAUUUAUUCAGACAUCAUGAGAGUAAUAAAAGUUAUCUUUGGCCUCUACAAUUACAAGAGGUGCUCAAAGUGGUGGCCACUGGCUUCCAGACAUUUCUGUUGUGUUGUAGACAUCACUUGUUGAUGCUCCAUUCAUGAGGGUAGCGCCAUCUGUUGGGAAAACAUCGUACAACAGGACACAGAGUUAUCGUACUUUGAUCAAACUUAGAAAGAGG
ensembl:lncRNA